rnacentral:tRNA from 1 species
AUCUUCGUGGGGAAACCCCAAUCCCGUCAGCUUCCCAAGCUGAAUACGCGGGUUCGAUUCCCGUCAUCGGCUCCA